CUCAAUGAAAUUUCAAUAGCCGCAAUCUAUUGUGCUAAGGUAGCAUAAUCAUUUGUCUUUUAAUUAAAGAAUAGAACAAAAGAUUUAACAUUUUUAUUUCUCUCUUAUAUAUUUAUAAUCUAAAUUAUUUUAAAUAUAAAAAAAUAUUUAUAAAAAAAAAAGACGACAAGACCCUAUCGAACUUAACUAAAGUUAAACUGGGGUAGUUAAUUAAACAAUAUUUUAAUUCAAAUUUUCCAAACACCUAAUACAAUUAAAAUAAUCAAGUUACCGUAGGGAUAACAGCGUAAUAUUUUUCUAAAGCUCUUAUCAAAAAAAAUGUUUGCGACCUCGAUGUUGAAUUAAUAAUCUAUUAAAUGCAAUUAUUAAUAAGAAAGUC
rnacentral:rRNA from 1 species